rnacentral:rRNA from 1 species
UACGGAAGGCAGCAGUGGGGAAUAUUGCACAAUGGGCGAAAGCCUGAUGCAGCUAUGCCGCGUGUAUGAAGAAGGCCUUAGGGUUGUAAAGUACUUUCAUCGGGGAGGAAAAAACAAAACUAAUAAUUUUAUUUCUUGACGUUACCCGAAAAAGAAGCACCGGCUAACUCCGUGCCAGCAGCCGCGGUAAUACGGGGGUGCUAGCGUUAAUCAGAAUUACUGGGCGUAAAGAGCACGUAGGUGGUUUUUUUAAAGUCAGAUGUGAAAUCCCCUGGGCUUAACCUAGGAACUGCAUUUUGAAACUGAAAUACUAGAGUAUCGUAGAGGGAGGUAGAAUUCUAGGUGUAGCGGUGAAAUGCGUAGAUAUCUGGAGGAAUACCUGUGGCGAAAGCGGCCUCCUAAACGAAUACUGACACUGAGGGUGCGAAAGCGUGGGGAGCAAACAGGGAUUAGAACC